CCGCGCCCCUCGCCCUCACUGCGCGUUCGCAUCCGCCGAUUCGCAUCCGCAUCACUGCGUGUCCUCCUCCUCCUCCUCCUCUCCCCCUCAUCGCGUGUCCGCAUCUGCCGAUUCCGCCACCUCCUCCUCCUCCUCGCCCCUGUGCCCCGAGAUCUCGCAUCCGCUCCAUCUAUGGAAGGCCACCACGUGUCGUGGAUCGCCGCUCUCUACCGCCACCUCAAUGGAAGGUUCGCCGCUCUCUACGCGGAUCUGCCACCUCCUUUUCGGCUGCCGCCAAUGGAAGGUCCCAGAUCUCCUCUCCCAUUACUCCUCUCCCCAUUACCGCGCUCGAGGUCCACCAUUUUUGGAGGUCCGCCACCUCCGCCUUGGCCUGCCGUCAAUGGAAGGUCCCAGAUCUCCUCUCCCCAUUACUCCUCUCCCCAUUACAGCGCUCGAGUCAGUGGGAGUUCCGCCAUUUUUGGAAGGUCCACCACCUCCUCCUCGGCCCGCGGCAAAAAUGGCGUGGGAGAUCCGCCACCUCACCUCCUCCAAUUCUCGCGCUCGCGCCUGAUAUGGAAGGUCCAUCGGAGGGACUCGGGCGUCGAGGCCAUGGCGGAGCCGCACCCCUUCUCCCCCCUGCCUCGCGCGCGGCGGCCGAGAUGGUGCUGAGCGCCUGAGCCUGCCCUCCUACGGGCUCACUGGCACGCUCUCCAUGGCCAUCGGUAACCUCACGUUCCUGCGUAUGCUAAACCUGAGCUCCAAUUGAUUCCGCGGGGAGGUCCCAGCGACCAUCGUUCGCCUUGCGCAUCUGCAGGCGCUAGACCUUAGCUACAACGCCUUCUCUGAAUUCCAGAGCUGCGAUUCCCGAGGCCAUGGAGCAGCAAACAAUAUCAAUUGCCAAAGCUGCCAUUACAAUAGUACUCAUUUUAGGGACUUCAGUUCUUGCAGCUGUCAAUCCAAUUGCAGGAUGCUAUGACGCUCUUAAGGUUCGUAAACAUGUAUUUAUUGAUGCAAUAAUUAUCCAUUGUAUAAGGUAUAAACUGUUCUAGCUAUACAGGCAAGCCAAUUAAUUUGACAAAUUUUCUUUUGUUGUUUGCAAGCCAAACUAACUUGUAUAUCUUUUCUUAUAAAUCCCAUUUCAAGCAUAUGUUGCUUUCUGAUAAGUCAUAUGCUUCAAUUCACGCGGUUGGUUAUACAGUUCCUGGUGGUGAUUAUUGAAAUUGUAUUUAACUAUUUUACAAUAUUUAGAAAGCCUAUUUGGUUUCAAUAGAGUUCAUGUAUCUUUUCAUUCUUGAUGAAAUUCUGGUAUAGAGUUUGAUGUUUGAAGCACCCAAAUGUAACUAUGUUUAUGAACUAGCGAGUGAUGUUUUAGUCAAACAUGAACUAGCGAGUGAUAAAUAUUCGAGAACGGAAAUAGUAUUAUAUAAUUCAGUAAAACCAUUUGUAGUACAGGAACACCAUAUUUGUUUGAUAAACCACAUAAACUAAGAACUGAAACGAAGGGAUUUUACCAAAGAUAAUAAAGAGCACAAAACGAUUUAAAGAAUAAGGUGUAAAAUCUUACCAAAGAAAAAAAUGAAACUUUAGAAAAUUAAAAACUAUGCUUCUGUUUUAUCAGAUUGGGUGGGGUUACUGGUCAAAUAAUUACAUCGGGCCUGGGUUGCAUUAUCUGAUGACGUCACUGUCUUGGCAUGUUUUAUUCCCACAAUGUAGUGAUCAUGAACUUAUACAUUGAAAUCCUGACGGGCCUCGAGAGGCCAGGAGGUGGAGAUGAGUUCAACAAGUACUACAUCUUGUCAGCUCUCUCCUAUCCGUGGAUUGGUGAGUUAGUUUGGAUGUUUGCACUGGUAUUGUUAUCCAUCAACCCCAAACCAAUUGCAGUUCCUUUUAGUCAUGUCAUGUUUAAUUUCCCUAAAAAUUGCGUACUGCAUUUCAUAUAUAUGUAUCAAAUAUGGACCCUGAAACUGAAGCAGGCGUUCCUUUUCAAUUCGUGUUGCUUCUUCAUUUCCUUUAUCAGUAAGGGCAUGUCCAGAUCCAUUAGCACUAAAAUUUAGCAGCUAAAAUUAGUACGAGUGGGUCUAAACGGACCUGCUAAUUAUUUGUUGAAGGGCGUGAAGGGCUGCUAUUAGUUUCAUUAGCAGAUUUGGAGUUGCUAAUAUGUGAUAAUAAUUCAUAUGCAUCUUCAACUCACUAUCUAACUACCUAUUAGCAGGUGAGUGCAAACAGCUUCCUGCUAAAAGUUAGCAAGGAAUCGGUUGAUACUUAUUGAUGUACGUGUUUGUUCAUUAUUAUUGUACCAUGUUUGGUUGGAAUGUUUUUAAAAGAAUGUUGAGUUCUAAACAAUAUGAGUUAUUUUAUAUUCUAUAUUCUUUUGGUUUCUGAAAGGGUGCCUGAAAUAUCCUAUAGAUGUCUUUAGUAGAGGGUCCAAAUAAUGGCCUGCAAGGUUUCUUGAAUUGGAUCGCACAAAAUUCCAUCUGCUUCAGAAUUGAGCUAAGCGCAUCCUAACAUCUUGACUCCUAAUACCGACUAAGAAUUACUAGCAUUUCAUCUCGAAAGAUCACUCUGUCGACCAAUCCAAGGAAGGCACCUGAAGCUUAGGGAGGACACCUCACAAGUCACGGCUACCCGUGCUGCAUCUGUGUGAUUUUGUAAUUUGAAUGAGCAAAUCUAUCUGGCGUCAGUGCGGGGUUGGGGUAGGUGAGAAUAAUAUGGCAGCACUCCAAUUUGCAUAAAUUGAUCAAUUAUUUCUAUUACUAAUUUGAUUCUUUAGUUUCCUAGAGGGAGGAACAUCGUGGGAUGCAGGUCCCAAGGAACACCAGAUAUUUUGAGGCAGACCGUGGCGAGGUGCCCAAGGGCAGCGCCUAGAUCUUCUUCUGGAUGGUCAAGUUCUGGAACGAUAAUGUGGCAGAGGAGAUGCCCUGGUCUUCGUACGUAUAUGUUACUUACUCCCACUCUCAACAUAGCAGUAGUAAGUGCUUGUUUCUGAUGAAUGUAUCAAUCAAUGCUAUGCGCCACUGUGAAAUAUUCUUCUCAAACAUUAACAUUUGAUCUGAUGUAUAAUGUAAUGUGGCAUGUCCUCCAUAUCAGAGUUCUCCAUGCUUAUUUUUGAUAGUUUUGUGUCCCAAUUAUAGGUGUUAUGCAAUGACAUGUCUUUCCCUAAUGCACCGAAGCUUGGAUGGGUCCGUUGAAGGUUGUGUUGUUUAGGUAUGCUUGUUUGAUCAUAUGUGGACUAAUAAUGGAUUGAAAUACUAACAACUGCACUAGUUGAUAGGUAGUUAUGAAUUUGUGGAUGAUCUGUUUGUUUUGUUAAUAUGUUAUCACUGCCAAACUAUUUAAUGAUUUCAGUGUUCUCUGCAUUGUCAUAUGUCAAAAAUUGAUUGGUGACUAUGAUAGGGUAGUCAGGUGGUGGCUAUAAUUCCUAGAGAUGUGUGAGGGCACAUAUCUAGAGGACGUCCACACCAUGCCUCCACCCCCUGGCCCUAGCCGCCUCGCGUCGUCAGUGCCUCCCUCGCCUCACCCCCAUCAUCGACGUUGGAAAUCGCCCCGACCCUGGCUCCCAGAUCGGCGUUCACCCAAGAUCCCCCGGCGCGAUGCGGCAACCACGUGGUCUCCCCUUCAAGGAAGUGGAAUGGGGGCCUUGACCACCACCACUCGUGUCUCUAGCUGUUUUUGUUAUAUCAUUUCAUUUUUCCAUAAUAGUGAAUUUGUUUGUGAGGUAUAGUCUUUGUUGGCUUAAAAUGGUAAUUUUUUCUAUUUUUCACAUGAGAUAAUUUAUGCCGAGCUGAGCAAUUGUCGUUUAUCUUAGUGCAACUGAUGCUGGAGCUGAAGUUAGCGUCUGUUUCUAAUUUCUAGGUUUCUGUGUUUCAAUGGCCUCUUGAAAAUUGAAAAUGGCCUCUUGUAGGUUGAAGGAUGUAUGCAUGGAAUAGAAGUCAGAUAAAACUUUUGUGCAACAGGCUGAAGUCAUUCUUGUUGAUGGGAAAUUAAUAGAGGCUAAUGCUGACCAACUUGCUAAGGUUUAAAUGCAGGAUAUUACAAAAGUCAGGUUGGAGAACUCCCUUGUUUAGGCUUUUGUCUUGCUUCUGCAGAAGGAGAGAUGACGUGUUUCAUCUCUGCAUGACAUGAUGGCAUGUGAGGCAGCAGUCUCUGCUCCGCAACCCUUGUCAUGGCUUGGAGUUGGUAUUCUAGGAAGGGGCACAAUUUUAUUAGGGUAGCCACUAGAGUUGAGGUCCCUUUUCAAUGGACGAACUUGGUGCUGUGGACGACAUCUGCUAUUGUAGCUAGGCGCAUACAUGUUUUCCUAUAAAUGCUAGCUCUGCAAUCACCAAAGGAAAACACAAGAGUACUCUUGGAGGAAAGUUUAGCAUUCAAUUUAA